UGCCGUCCGCUGGCACCUCUUUGCCGUCCGCUGGCAGAUGGCAAAGAAUUCUUUGCCAUCUGCCAGCAGACGGCAAAGAAAUGACAGAUGGCAAAGA
rnacentral:pre_miRNA from 12 species